GACGAACGCUGGCGGCGUGCUUAACACAUGCAAGUCGAACGGAAAGGCCCUGCUCUUGUGGGGUGCUCGAGUGGCGAACGGGGGUGUGAAACGCGAGUAACCUGCCCCUGUCUUUGGGAGAACUUCAGGAAACUGGGGCGAAUAUCGGAUAGGAGCUCCUGCUGCACGGGGGGGGUUGGAGAGAUCCGGCGGUGGUGGCUCGUCUCGCAGCUUAUCAGCUUGAUGGUGGAGUAGGUGCUUACAAAGGCUUCGACGGGUAGCCGGCCUGGGAGGGUGGCCGGCGACAAUGCGACUGCGGUAGGGACCAGACUGCUACGGGCCGCAGCAGUGGGGAAUAUGGCGCAAUGGGCCGAAGUCUGAUACAGCAACGCCGCGUGCGGAAUGCCCGCCUUCGGGUUGAAAACAGCUUUCGCCUGAACCGAAGCGUGAGUGACGGUAAUGGGUAAAGAAGCACCGGCUAACUACGUG
rnacentral:rRNA from 1 species